rnacentral:rRNA from 1 species
UGGGGAAUUUUGGACAAUGGGCGAAAGCCUGAUCCAGCAAUGCCGCGUGUGUGAAGAAGGCCUUCGGGUUGUAAAGCACUUUUGUCCGGAAAGAAAUCCUUGGCUCUAAUACAGUCGGGGGAUGACGGUACCGGAAGAAUAAGCACCGGCUAACUACGUGCCAGCAGCCGCGGUAAUACGUAGGGUGCAAGCGUUAAUCGGAAUUACUGGGCGUAAAGCGUGCGCAGGCGGUUUGCUAAGACCGAUGUGAAAUCCCCGGGCUCAACCUGGGAACUGCAUUGGUGACUGGCAGGCUAGAGUAUGGCAGAGGGGGGUAGAAUUCCACGUGUAGCAGUGAAAUGCGUAGAGAUGUGGAGGAAUACCGAUGGCGAAGGCAGCCCCCUGGGCCAAUACUGACGCUCAUGCACGAAAGCGUGGGGAGCAAACAGGAUUAGAUACCCUGGUAGUCCACGCCCUAAACGAUGUCAACUAGUUGUUGGGGAUUCAUUUCCUUAGUAACGUAGCUAACGCGUGAAGUUGACCGCCUGGGGAGUACGGUCGCAAGAUUCAAAACUCAAAGGAAUUGACGGGUCAUAGCUGUUU